GUCUCUGAUCUGAUCACAUUUCCUAUAGGAAAGGUCCAAGGUUAGCCACAGUAAGAAUCAAAAGGCAGUAGUAUGGAGCAUGGGCAUUAGAUUAAUACCGCAUUAGCGUAGGGUGGCAGGCAAGGGUUGGGGGCUAAGGGAGAGGCCACCAGUCCAGGAUGACUGAUGCACAGACUGUUUAGCAGGACACCUCCAUGGACUUGGGCCCGGCAUUGUUUCCGGUGGCGCCCGAGUUGGGGGUGAUGUUGAGACGGGCAUCCUCACUGGUAUGGGAGCGGCUACGGGACCCCUCACUGGUGUGCGAGCGGCUUCGGGGGCCCUCGCUGGUAUGGGAACGGCUACGGGUGCCCUCCAGGGAUGUGACACUGGAGCCAGAGGCUGUGCGGGACCGCAUCAGGCGAGUCAUGCUGGCAGAAGGC
ensembl:antisense Gm17035 predicted gene 17035